ensembl:lncRNA
CUGACUGCAGGAGUGGAGCUCUGGCAGCAGAAAUCCGCUCGCAGAGGAUUCCUUCCAAUUUUACGCGCAACUUUUCCUCGCCGGCUUCUUCUCUGCGGCGUUUCCAGCGCUCCCCCCUCGAUUGUUGUGGAUUUCUAACAACCACCCCCUGGCUGUUUGUAGCGGAGCGACGAGCGAAGCUCGCCCGGAAUCGGAUCUGCUGUCACCGGGCUGCUUGUUGUCAUUUUCGCACGGAGACGCGCAGCCGGAGCGCAGACAGAAGGGGCAAUUUGUGGACUUGAUAAACGGACCAGAAAGCAAACGGUUGCACCAGUCUUCACUUCAUCUCCGUCGCCAGUUUGGACAGGCGGUUGCCAGCACUGCACAGGCUGACCUCAGGCUGUUAAAGGUUUCCAGUUGAGCUUGUGGCGGGCAGAAAUGUCAGAGCUGUGGAUUCCAGCGGCGGGCAGAGAGGCUGCUACAGUAUGUGGCGGGAGACUGCGAUGCUGAUGGCCACAUAAGGACACUUUCUGUCGGGACUCCCAUUGAAACCAGUCUGACAGAGCGCAGACCGAAAGGUAAGCCGUGCCGGCAUCUCAUCCUGAUUUCAUGACGGCCUUUUAGACGUUCCAAGGUUUUUUUUCUGGACAGUGGACUGUGCGGU